CCGCCCAUGGCUUAGUUGGUCAUGGCGUCCGACUGUUAUCCCUCUCAAAUCGGAAGAUCGACAGUUCAAGUCUCUCUGGGACAGU